rnacentral:rRNA from 1 species
AUCUAGCUUGCUAGAUGCUGACGAGCGGCGGACGGGUGAGUAAUGCAUAGGAAUCUGCCCGGUAGUGGGGGAUAACCUGGGGAAACCCAGGCUAAUACCGCAUACGUCCUACGGGAGAAAGGGGGCUUCGGCUCCCGCUAUUGGAUGAGCCUAUGUCGGAUUAGCUAGUUGGUGAGGUAAAGGCUCACCAAGGCGACGAUCCGUAGCUGGUCUGAGAGGAUGAUCAGCCACAUCGGGACUGAGACACGGCCCGAACUCCUACGGGAGGCAGCAGUGGGGAAUAUUGGACAAUGGGGGCAACCCUGAUCCAGCCAUGCCGCGUGUGUGAAGAAGGCCUUCGGGUUGUAAAGCACUUUCAGCGAGGAAGAACGCCUGGUGGUUAAUACCCGCCAGGAAAGACAUCACUCGCAGAAGAAGCACCGGCUAACUCCGUGCCAGCAGCCGCGGUAAUACGGAGGGUGCAAGCGUUAAUCGGAAUUACUGGGCGUAAAGCGCGCGUAGGUGGCUUGAUAAGCCGGUUGUGAAAGCCCCGGGCUCAACCUGGGAACGGCAUCCGGAACUGUCAGGCUAGAGUGCAGGAGAGGAAGGUAGAAUUCCCGGUGUAGCGGUGAAAUGCGUAGAGAUCGGGAGGAAUACCAGUGGCGAAGGCGGCCUUCUGGACUGACACUGACACUGAGGUGCGAAAGCGUGGGUAGCAAACAGGAUUAGAUACCCUGGUAGUCCACGCCGUAAACGAUGUCGACCA